rnacentral:rRNA from 1 species
AUUGAACGCUGGCGGCAUGCCUUACACAUGCAAGUCGAACGGCAGCGCGGGGCAACCUGGCGGCGAGUGGCGAACGGGUGAGUAAUAUAUCGGAACAUACCCUAGAGUGGGGGAUAACGUAGCGAAAGUUACGCUAAUACCGCAUACGCACUAAGGUGGAAAGUGGGGGAUUCGCAAGAACCUCAUGCUCAUGGAGUGGCCGAUAUCUGAUUAGCUAGUUGGUGAGGUAAAGGCUCACCAAGGCGACGAUCAGUAGCUGGUUUGAGAGAACGACCAGCCACACUGGAACUGAGACACGGUCCAGACUCCUACGGAGGCAGCAGUGGGAAUUUUGGACAAUGGGGGCAACCCUGAUCCAGCAAUGCCGCGUGAGUGAAGAAGGCC